UAGCCGCAGUACCCUGACUGUGCAAAGGUAGCAUAAUAAAUUGUCCCUUAAUUGGGGUCAUGAAUGAAGGAAAAACGGGGAAACUGUCUUAAAAAUGUUUUUUAAAUUUACUCAUUAGGUGCAAAUUCCUAUAUAAAUUGAAAGACGAGAAGACCCUAAGAGUUUUUUGUAAUUUUGUUGGGGCGACAUAUUAACAUUAAACUUAAUAAUUUAAUUUUUGUAACGGUAAUAAGAAAACUACCUUAGGGAUAACAGCAUAAUUAUAGAUUGUGACCUCGAUG
rnacentral:rRNA from 1 species